CUCCCCGGGUGCAGUGUGGGUGGCUCCUGGCCGGGGAAGUGAGAAGCCCUCCGUGCAGUGUCUCUGAAGCAGCCCCAGGCCAAGGCUGUGGCGUGCUCGGUGGUGCUGUAGGCCCAAGAUGUUUAUGGGUCGAGGGUCCCCGGGGCCGGGAUUCUGAUCCCUGGUGAGAGGUGGGUGGGAGGAAGUCCAGACGUGUCCUGAGUGGCCAUUCCUUACAAUGAGGUGACACCGCCUCUCCAAACACGUGACGUGGCUGGAAGCAGAUGCUGCUCUCUGGUUCUCCCUCCUCUCCGUCCCUGCCUGGGACAUGUGGAUCUCACCCCCAGCCACUUUCUUCUGGCCUCUGUUCCCCUGCCUCGGACACGUGGACCUCACCCCCAGUCUCCUUCUCGCCUCUACCUCCUGCAGGCGCAGCCAGGUCACAGUCACCAGAAGUUUGGCAGAUCUCAGUGAGGCGUUAGUUUGCUUUUCCUUGUGACGGCUGGACGUCGAGAGGGGCCCCGUCUGGUGUGGCUGUGUCCGGCCCCCCAUGCAGGCCCUGCACCGUGGACUCCCAACCUGCGGGGAUCCGUCUCCAAAGACGCCAGUAGUUCUGCCAGCCCAGCGUUUCCUGAGUGUGUCCCGAGGCCCUGGUCGCACGGAGUGGAGUCUAGAUCCGUCCCCAGUCUGGAGUGCAGUGGUGAGAUCUCAGCUCACCACAACCUCUGCCUCCCAGGUUCAAGCGAUUCUCCUUCCUCAGCCUCCCGAGUAGCUAGGAUUAUAGGCAUGCGCCACCAUGCCCAGCUAAUUUUGUAUUUUUUUUAGUAGAGACGUGGUUUCUCCAUGUUGGUCAGGCUGGUCUCGAACUCCUGACCUCAGGUGAUCCACUCGCCUUGGCCUCCCAAAGUGCUGAGAUUGCAGGCAUGAGCCUCCAUGCCCGGCCACCUCUCCCAUCUUCUUAUGGAUCAUCGGGUAAGACUCCCAUAAAUGGAGCCUCCCUAUGGCUGGUCUCUGCUGUCUCAUCCUCAUGACGUGCCCUGAGUCCUUUCUCCCUUAGGGUGGCCUGUCUAUUCUGCACCUCACUUUCAAAAUACUCUUUUUUCUUUUCUUUUCUUUUUUUAAGACAGAGUUUUGCUCUUGUUGCCCAGGCUGGAGUGCAGUGGUGCAAUCUCGGCUCCCUGCAAGCUCUGCCUCCUGGAUUCGAGUGAUUCUCCUGCCUCAGCCUCCCGAGUAGCUGGGAUUACAGGCGCUCGCCACCACGCCUGGCUAAUUUUUCUAUUUUUAAUAGAGAUGGGGUUUCACCAUGUUGGCCAGGCUGGUCUUGAACUCCUGACCUCAAGUAAUCCGCUCACCUUGGCCUCCUAAAAUGCUAGGAUUACAGGCGUGAGCCACUGCAAAAUACUUUUCUUCUUUUGCAAUAAAUUACUCU